UGAGGCCCGGAGGCUGGGCCCUGCGGCCACUCCAAGCUUUGUCACGGCAGAGACCAGCCUCCAUAGUGGCCAUGUUUGCGACCGCACCAUCCCUGACCGGGGAUCGGUGCCGAUGGACCGCUGACCGCCAACCCUUUCAUGCUGUGGGCUCGUCUAACGCCCCCCUGCCAUCAUCGCUUUCUCCAAGGGCCUCCCGUCUGCCAGGUGACAAGUCUCCUCCCUGCGGUCUCCACCCCUGGGUCCCGACAGAGCUGGCCAGAUCCAGGACAGUCUGCCACGUGUCCCCACACGCACACGCGCACACAUCCCGUGUCCCACAGCCGGCGCAUGCACGUGCACACGUGUGGUUGCGUGUGUUGGAACCACUGAACCGAUUAUCCGAGUGACGGGGGCAUCGCUGGGUGUGGGCCCCGAAACUGCGUGGGCAAUUAAAACUUCUGAAAGCGGC